rnacentral:rRNA from 1 species
UGCAAGUCGAGCGGACGGAUGGGAGCUUGCUCCCUGAAGUCAGCGGCGGACGGGUGAGUAACACGUGGGCAACCUGCCUGUAAGACUGGGAUAACUUCGGGAAACCGGAGCUAAUACCGGAUAAUGCAUAACCUCUCAUGAGGUUAUGCUGAAAGAUGGUUUCGGCUAUCACUUACAGAUGGGCCCGCGGCGCAUUAGCUAGUUGGUGAGGUAACGGCUCACCAAGGCAACGAUGCGUAGCCGACCUGAGAGGGUGAUCGGCCACACUGGGACUGAGACACGGCCCAGACUCCUACGGGAGGCAGCAGUAGGGAAUCUUCCGCAAUGGACGAAAGUCUGACGGAGCAACGCCGCGUGAGUGAUGAAGGUUUUCGGAUCGUAAAACUCUGUUGUUAGGGAAGAACAAGUGCCGGAGUAACUGCCGGCACCUUGACGGUACCUAACCAGAAAGCCACGGCUAACUACGUGCCAGCAGCCGCGGUAAUACGUAGGUGGCAAGCGUUGUCCGGAAUUAUUGGGCGUAAAGCGCGCGCAGGCGGUCUCUUAAGUCUGAUGUGAAAGCCCACGGCUCAACCGUGGAGGGUCAUUGGAAACUGGGGGACUUGAGUGCAGAAGAGGAAAGUGGAAUUCCACGUGUAGCGGUGAAAUGCGUAGAGAUGUGGAGGAACACCAGUGGCGAAGGCGACUUUCUGGUCUGUAACUGACGCUGAGGCGCGAAAGCG